GCAAGAAAUACUUCUAGUACUAGUACUAAUAUAGUCUGAGAAACCAUACAGUAGCUUUUAUUGAAGGACUGUCUGGUACAAGAUGCUCAGUGAGUUUCUAACUACGUAGUGAAUCUCAAAUUACCAUAAAGUAGUGAGCAACAACACAAUAGCUGCUUCCUUGAAUCUUGUCAGACAGAAAGACGACAAAAAACGAGAGCAUAAAGCAGCCAGUCUGUUAGCGGAAAAUUCAGAGGUCAUCAUCACGCAGCCUCAAAGACGACAACAGAUCACAGUAAACGUGAAAAAUAAUGAUUUCCAUGUGCAUGAUGAUCUUCGCUUUGGCCGCAGCAGCGCUGGCAAAAAGUAUGUUGAGUAUGUUAAAGUAGUUAACAUGUAGUUAAUAUGGUGUACAGACAAUUAUGAUUCAAUCUUUUAAGUAAGACAUAUUUUAAUAAAAUAUGUAAAUGCAUCACUGGAACUUUACAACAAUUUGUAAUAAAAAUGUUGAAUAUUUCACAAGAAAGUAUGAUAUAAAAGUACAAAAAUACUGUAAUGUAAAUAAUGUUUUUAUUUGGUUUUAAUUUGUAUUUUGUUUUUUUUAGCAUCCACAGAGUGCAAUUUCUCUGAAUCUACUGAAACUCUGCAGUGUUUUGGUUUAGUUGGACAGUUGCUGCUUUUUCAUCUUCCAAACACAGCAAAUACAGAAAUUAAGCUGAUAAAAGACAACAAAUAUCUGAUUUUAAGAAGAAUCAAAAAUGAAAUAGUGACUCUGAAUGAAGAAUAUGCAGACUCACAGACUCAGUCUGAACUCCUCACGCGUGGAACUCUCAACUUCGGUGAAGCAAAGAAAAGACACUCUGGAGAGUACACGCUGGAGGAAUUUGACUCUAAAGGUGCUUUAGUGAAAAAAGUAAUUGGUCAACUAGAAAUACAAGCUCAAGUAUCAGCACCAGCUAUGUCCCAGACGUGUCUGUCACAUGAACAGAUGAAGGUCAAAUGUUCCUCUGAAGGAGAUGGAGUAGAGUUCAGUUUGAGAUUGGACAAUGAACUACUGAUACAUAUCAGAGAUCAGAGUGUGACUCCAAGUAACUGGGCAGAAAACAUACUGUCAAUGGUUCAGAAUACAGCUAAACAAGACAAAUCUAGUGUUUCAGAUGUCGUCAUCGGUUUACAUGGUCAGCGGACAGGAAAUCUGACGUGUAAGGUGUGGAACAAGGUCAGCAAACAUGAAACUGCUAUUUACCUGACAGGCUGUAAAGGUACAGUAGCUAAAAUAUCAGCUCUUUUUAUUUGA
rnacentral:lncRNA from 1 species